rnacentral:misc_RNA from 1 species
UUGUGGAGGAGGACGCCGAAGGUGGGGCUGAUGACUGGGGUGAAGUCGUAACAAGGUAGCCGUACCGGAAGGUGCGGCUGGAUCACCCCUACAGGGAGACAAACUGAUUAUGAUGUCUGAUUUUAAAAUUUAGGCCUUAAUCCUGUCACCUUAGGUCGAUCGGUACCUCUGAUUAAUAACUUUAAAUUUGAGAAAUCACUUUUAAAAAUUAUUUAGUUUUAGUUCCUAAACUUGUCUAGGUCACACCCAACAAACUUUUCUUCUGGGCUAUUAGCUCAGGCGGUUAGAGCGCACCCCUGAUAAGGGUGAGGUCCCUGGUUCAAGUCCAGGAUGGCCCAUUCGUUGUUGGGGGUAUAGCUCAGUUGGUAGAGCGCCUGCUUUGCAAGCAGGAUGUCAGCGGUUCGAGUCCGCUUACCUCCACUGAUCAACUACCUGAUAACUCAAUUUGGAGAUUGUAGUUUGUUGUAUGUGAUUUAGAGUUGUUCCUCUGAAUGGAACCUAGCUUCCUAUCUUUUCUAAUUUUUAUUAGUCUGAUAAGACGCUGGGCUCACUGAUUAUUCAAAUGAAUAUCAGUUUGAUUCAGCAGAACCUUGACAACUGCAUAGGAAAGUCUGGAAAGAAAAAAGCAUCUCAUAGAUGCAUAUAAAAUCUGAAUUUUCAGUUUUAAAACUGGAUAAUUUUUUAUAUGUUCAAUUCUUGAGUUAGAGCAAAAUUUCUAUAACUUAAAUGUCCACUUAUUUAAUAGUGGAUAACUAAAUUUACUUUAGUCAGUUUAUAGAUAUUAUUAAUGGUCAAGCUACAA